UACGGAGGGUGCGAGCGUUAUUCGGAAUUACUGGGCGUAAAGCGCGUGUAGGCGGCCAACCAAGUCUGAUGUGAAAGCCCUGGGCUUAACCUGGGAAGUGCAUUGGAAACUGGCUGGCUUGAGUACUGGAGAGGAAGGGGGAAUUCCCGGUGUAGAGGUGAAAUUCGUAGAGAUCGGGAGGAAUACCAGUGGCGAAGGCGCCCUUCUGGACGGUUACUGACGCUGAGACGCGAAAGCGUGGGGAGCAAACAGGAUUAGAUACCCUGGUAGUCCACGCUGUAAACGAUGAGCACUAGGUGUAGCGGGUACUCAUUCCUGCUGUGCCGUAGCUAACGCGUUAAGUGCUCCGCCUGGGGAUUACGGUCGCAAGACUAAA
rnacentral:rRNA from 1 species